AUGUACGUCACCAUGUGUCCAGAUUUGAGAUGCCGCGUGCACCAGAUGAACGGCGCCGAGUUUGACCCCCGUGAUGCUACGUGGGUGCCGAGGAACGCUCUUGGAGAGUACUCGCUUUUCAUGAAGCAUGGUUGUGUCUUCAGUGUGCACCGCCGGAUGAACGACAUGCUGGGACACGCUAUCCCUAAUUUAUGCUGCUACAACUUGGAUGAGUCUCCAUCGUGUGGAAGCAGACUAGAAAGCUGGGACAAUGAUUCCCGUUGCCAACCGCUAUGGAUCGUGCCAUCCAUGAAGAACACCUGGGACAGGAACCUGGAGGAGGACAUCGGACGCAACUGCGCUGGCCUUCAUGAUUCCAGGAGCUGGAAUCAUACCAGCCGAUGGUCAAAGAAGGAUUGGCCGGUGCUGCCGGCUGGCGUCAAGUUCGACCCCAUGGAUCAGGAGCUGAUCGAGCACCUUGAGGCCAAAGUGAGUGAUGACAACACGAGAUCUCACCCUCUCAUCGAUUUGUUCAUACCAACCAUCGACAGCGAGCACGACAUAUGCUACACCCAACCUGAGAAACUUCCAGGAAGCAUUUCUUCCAGCGUUCAAAAGGGGCACGUGGACGCGUCGCAAGAUACAAUCGGAGUGUGGCAUGCAUGCAUGUGGCACAAGACCGGCAAUACCUUGCUGGUGAUGGUCAAAGGCCGGCACACGGGCAGCAAAAAGGUUCUGGUGCUGCACACCAACAAGAACUUCGACCAGCAGAGGACCAACUGGGUGAUGCACUGGUACCACCUCGGGGACCUGGAGCAAGAGAAGGAUCGGGAGCUGGUCCUCUGCAAGAUUUUCUACCAGACAAACACUAGGGCUAGGAGUAAAAAGAUUAUAAGUUAG
rnacentral:rRNA from 1 species